rnacentral:rRNA from 1 species
GUACCUUUUGCAUCAUGAUUUAGCUAGCAUAAUUGAGCAAAAAGAAUUUUAGUUCAAGCCCCCGAAACUAAACGAGCUACUCCAGGACAGCCAAUCAUUGGGCAAACCCGUCUCUGUGGCAAAAGAGUGGGAAGAGCCUAGAGUAGAGGUGAAAAGCCUAUCGAGUCUAGUUAUAGCUGGUUGCCUAAGAAAUGGAUUUAAGUUCAGCCUCCUGGCUUCUAUACUCAAACCCCACACAUAAAGAAUCCAAGAAACCAAGAGAGUUAGUCAAAGGGGGUUCAGCCCCUUUGACAAAGGACACAACCUUACCAGUAGGAAAAAGAUCAUACCCCCCAAGGAAACCCUACUAAAGUGGGCCUAAAAGCAGCCACCUUAAAAGAAAGCGUUAUAGCUCAACACCCCUUUCCCCAGAAAUCAUGACAACAUUAUCUUUAUCCCCUAACAAUAAAAGGCCAUUCCACCCCGUGGAAGAGACCAUGCUAAUAUGAGUAAUAAGAGACUACCAAGACUCUCUCCUGGCACAAGC